GGGGUCGUUUAUGGAUUCGCCGUGGCAAUUAAAGCUAUAUAAGCACGUAGCAGUAGUCUGCUUUAACAACGUCGAGGUUAAAUAACCGCAAAAAAUACACAUUUAUUUGCACGCGCUAACAAUAUGAGCGCUGCAUACGCUUGCUAAUUUAAUUCAAGCGACUUUGCAAGGUUUGUCUCCUAUAGCAUUCCUUCAAGGGUUCAACUCAUAUAGGAUAUAUCUAUCUGGUGCUACUCUAACUAGAUAGAAGAACUUUAAUAGAGCGUAGUUUGUCUUUGGCUUGUUUAUUUGCUUAGGGCAAAUGAAAUUUCAAAAUAAACUAAACGUGUAGAAAGUAUAGUGGCAAAUGCUGCGUACGGGGGUUCGAUUCCCCCCGGCUCCACCA
rnacentral:tmRNA from 1 species